UUGUUCUUGAAACUUAAAAAAUUUGGCGGUAUUUUAGUCUAUCCAGAGGAACCUGUUUUGUAAUCGAUAAUCCACGAUGGACCUUACUUAAGUUUGUAAUCAGUUUAUAUACCGUCGUUAUCAGAAUAUUUUAUAAGAAUAAUAAUAUUCAAUAAUUUUUAUUAAAAUUUAUAUCAGAUCAAGGUGUAGCUUAUAUUUAAGUAAUAAUGGGUUACAAUAAAUUUAUUUAAACGGAUAAAAUUAUGAAAAAGUUUUUGAAGGUGGAUUUGGUUGUAAAAUUAUAAAGAUUAAUAAUUUGAUUUUAGCUCUAAAAUAUGUACACAUCGCCCGUCGCUCUUAUUAUUAAGGUAAGAUAAGUCGUAACAUAGUAGAUGUACUGGAAAGUGUAUCUAGAAUGA
rnacentral:rRNA from 1 species